rnacentral:lncRNA from 1 species
AGGGAGGGAGGAGGGCGUUCUCGCCCGAGAGAGGCAGAACGCAGGCGCCGGACCUUCUCUCCGUGGCCUUUGUGCGACGGGAAGGCUUUUGCGCGUGCGCCACAACCAUAGAGUUUGGCGAGGCGUACUAGAGGGGCUACCUAUUGCACCUCCCGGGUGGUUCGGGCUUAAGGUUAGCCAGGCUGAGGCUAUGGGAGCUGCAGGUGGAUACACAACCUUGGAUCUGGUGUAGCUCUCCUUAGCCCAGAGACUUUUAAGUUAAACAAACGCCCAAGAUACCUUUCUUUCACUAGAAUAUCAGCCGAUUAACAAAAAUGGUCCCAAAGCUCCGUGACACUGGACCCAUUUUUAGGGCUAGAGAUAGUCUUCUUAAUCACUUUCUUCCCGCUCUUUAGCUCUGGGAUGUCCUUUUUCUCCUGAAAAUUCAUAUUCUGCCAGGUCCUUUAAAAAAAAAAAUCGUUCCAACUCUCAUCUGAAGCUCCGGCUGCCUUGGCUGCCAGUUUAGCAUUUGUCUCUGACCUUUCUGCUUCCUCGAAGGAGAGGGCAGACAGCGAUGCAAGUGUCUUGCAAUGACAGCGCUACUGCAGAAAAUACUUUAUGGACUGAGAGAGAUCGAUAGAGCCGUGGGAAGAAUGGAAGAGCCAGAGGACGGGGAUGAGCGCUGUGAAAUGCUUUCUUCGGGACAGGAUACGUUGACUGCACUCAUGAGCUCUCUGCAGCUGUGACUCCCUGCACAAAUUCAAGUCAUCAUUCCAACAGGCUUCCAGUAGAAGGCAGGCCCAGCUUAGAUCUGGAUUAAAGAUCUGAACUAAAGGUGUGUCUUGCUACCUCAAGGAUCUGAAUGAGAGGUCUCAUGGCCUUAGCUGGUAUUUAUAAUCACCUUCUACUACUCAUUCUGUAUAUGCUCCACCUCAAGCACUUCAGCAGCGUUUUGGCUCUUUGCCUGGAGAAGUGAUUCACACCUUCAUUCCUGGUAGGUCAGUGCCCUUUGUCACCCUGCCUGGGUCAGGCAGCUGUAGUUUCCUGUUGACUUUAAUCACAGAACUCACUAGCACCAAGAGAUUUCCUUAAAGUCUGCACUCUAGACAGAAACUGUCUUAUGUGUGCUGUGGCGCAG